rnacentral:snoRNA from 1 species
GGGUCGAUGAUGAGAGCCUGCUAUUUCUCUGAAGAGAGGUGAUGACUUAAAAAUCAUGCUCAAUAGGAUUACGCUGAGGCCC